rnacentral:lncRNA from 1 species
AGAUUCGUAAUUGUGUCUAAGUCAUUGAAUCUGUUUUAGGAGUUCAUAUGUAAUUUUGUUUAGAUUUUGGGUUCGAUGUUUAAAAUAUAGUUUUGUCAAUACUUAUGUUAAGUGUUAGUAAAAAAAAUCAUCAUAAAAAAUUAUUAUAUUACUAUAUACCAACGGUUUAGGACUGUUAUAAUAAUUAGUUAAAAACGUUGCUAAAAUAUAUUUUUGCCAGCGCUUGUGUUAAGUGUUUUUAAAUUAACUGUUACAACAAAUCAACUUUUUUGUAGUGAUUUGAACUUCAUUUUUGGAUUUUUUUUUU